rnacentral:rRNA from 1 species
UACGUAGGGGGCAAGCGUUGUCCGGAGUUACUGGGCGUAAAGCGCACGCAGGCGGUCUCUUAAGUUUGGAGUGACAGUUGGUGGCUUAACUGCCAAAGUGCUUCGAAAACUGAGAGACUUGAGGGCUUCAGAGGGACACGGAAUUCCGGGUGGAGUGGUGAAAUGCGUAGAGAUCCGGAGGAACACCAGAGGCGAAGGCAGUGUCCUGGGGAGUACCUGACGCUCAGGUGCGAAAGCCAGGGGAGCGAACGGG